rnacentral:rRNA from 1 species
GACGAACGCUGGCGGCGUGGAUUAGGCAUGCAAGUCGAACGGUAUCAUCCUUUCGGGGGUGAGAGAGUGGCGAACUGGUGAGUAACACGUAGGUUAUCUACCCUCAAGACGGGGACAACCCAGGGAAACUUGGGCUAAUACCGGAUGUGAGCAACUUUUAGUUGUUUGAAAGGUGGCGUAAGCUGUCGCUUGGGGAUGAGCCUAAGCGUCCUAUUAGUUAGUUGGUGAGGUAACGGCUCACCUAGGCAAUGAUAGGUAGGCGGCCUUAACGGGUGGUCGCCCACACUGGGAUUGAGAUACGGCCCAGACUCCUACGGGAGGCAGCAGUCGAGAAUAGUCUACAAUGGUCGGAAGACUGAUAGUGCGACGCCGCGUGAACGAUGAAUCCCUUCGGGUGUAAAGUUCUUUUAUAUGUGAGCAGUGCUUCUUAUAUUAACAGUAUGGGGAGAGAGAUAUUAGCAUAUGAAUAAGCAACGGCUAACUCCGUGCCAGCAGCCGCGGUAAACUCGU